rnacentral:rRNA from 1 species
GCAAGUCGAACGGAAUCCAUGGUGUGCUUGCACACCGGAAGAUUUAGUGGCGAACGGGUGAGUAACACGUGAGGAACCUACCUCGAAGUUUGGGAUAACCCAGGGAAACUUGAGCUAAUACCAGAUGCCCUCUACGAGCCGAAUGGUUUGUUGAGGAAAGAUUUAUCGCUUCGAGAGGGCCUCGCGGCCUAUCAGCUUGUUGGUGAGGUAAUGGCUCACCAAGGCAUCGACGGGUAGCUGGAUUGAGAGGAUGAUC